CUCCUCUCCCUGAAACCAAUGGCGGCUCCAUUGCUGUUGUCGAGCGAUUCCACUUAACUGAAAAUUGAGAGAUGAUCAAGAAGAAUUAGGUGAUGGGUUCUUGUGGUUGUUUUUCAAGGGUGAGAAGAAUAAGAACUGGUGCUAUGAUGAGGUUGAACUCGAUUUCAGAGAGGAAGAACAGAAAAUCUAGGGUUUGUGUUUGCUGUUGGUUUGUGAAGAGAUUGAUGACUAUUUGAGAGUUUGUUAAGGAAUAGAAGAUGGGUCUGAGACGAAUUGGGGUUUUGAGAAGUCAGGCAAGUUGAACUGAAAUAAUGAGUGGUUGAGAUGGUGAAUUUGGGUUUCUGAAUUGAGAAUUUGGUAGCAAAUUGGGUCGAUUGUGUGUUGAACAAGAUGCAGAAUCUGUGUGUGGCUGCUAUUUACGGUGCUAGUUGUAGCUGAUUUGGCCUGACAUGUUCAUUACAGGAGAAGCUCCAAACGGGAUUUGCUAUGUGAUGUUGUUGAGGCAGAGAUGAAGAAUAUCUGUCUUGCAGUGGGAGUGGCAAUGGAAUUGAAGGUGGUGUGUGCUUAGUUGGGAUGAGUUGAAGCUGCUGAGAUAUGGAAAUUGCAGUAUGAGCCCAUGCAGCUGGAUUACAGUGAGGUUCUGGUAUUAAUGAGCUGAGCAAGGAAGUUACAGUGGUAUAGAGGCGCAGAUGAUGGGGUUUGUGAUGAUUCUGUAAACAGGGAAGAGAAGAUUGGUUCUGGUGCAGAGAGGAAAUAAUGAGUUUUGAUAGAGAUGAAAAGGGUUUUGGUUCUGUGAUGAAUUUGAGCAGAAGUUGAUGAUGCCAUGGAGAUUACAAGGCUGUAGAAGGUAGUCAGAUGUUGUUGGUGCUGCGGUGAAUUUGAAGAGAAGUGCAGGACAUGCCUGAGCUGCUGAGGCUAUAAAUGAUAAAUGUUGUUGCAGGUGGUCUUGUUUGUGACUACAAGUGGUUGAACUGAGCCAAGCUGAGUUUCCAUGGAAACGAGAUUAUCUCGUUAAGGAUGAACUUGUUGUGUUGUCACUGAGAUGUGGAGGAGCUCGAAAUGGAAGACUGAGCCGGAUGCAGGAAGUGUUGGCUUGAAAGAGAAAUCAAUGGUUUGCUUAUGCUGUGAAGACAUGAUGCUACAUAUUGAUGCGGUUGAUGUUGCUUGGGAUUGAUGGCACUGGUUGAGUUCAAGAGUGAGUUGCAGUUGCAGCUCAGAUUCUGGUGGACUGAAAUUGGUUCUGCAGCUGCAACCGAAGAUGAUGGAUGUUUGGGAGAUGAAGUGCAGGAGCUGUUGGCGUUACUUGCAGUUUGAACACGAAACUGAGACAGAGAAUGGAUUUUCUGUGAAUGAAUGAAUAGCUGGUAUUGGUCUAAGUUCAAGUGCAGGUAUUGCAAUUCAGUGACUUGAGCAAGUGGUAGUCUGAAGAUGUGUGGGUUUAGUUUGAGCUCAAAUGGAAUUGGAAGAGCUGCGAGGUAUGAAUCCGAGAAGGUGACGUUAAUGUUUGCAGUCAGGUUCAGAAUGAGUAGCUGCUAUCAGAACUGGUGCAGGGGCAUUGUAGGUGCAUUGGCUGUAGUGCUGCUGUGUGUGUGGAUAAUUGGGUACUGUGGAUUCAGGGUCGGAACUCAACUGAAAUGGCUCGAGUCCGUGGCAGUGUUGAUAUGCUAAGUGGUGGUGUUGCAGGUGAGUGUUAAGCUCCUGACAUGGAAUGGCUUGAUGCUGCUGUUGACGUUAAGAUACGGGCAGUGAGAGUCGGCGAACGAAAUGGAAAUUGAGGUUGGUUGAGACACUGGUGGUUGGUUAAUGCUGCUGCUGGUAAUGAGUUAUUGAGCUGUGGUAAACUAGAAGGGUGUUGCUGCUUCUUAAGAAAUGAGUUGAACUGUUGUUGCUGCGAGAUGAUGUUGUCGAAUGGUAUCUGGUGAAUGAAUGUUAGAUGAAUGUUAGGUUUGCAGGGGAGAAGAAAUUGGCCUGGAAAUUGCCUGAAAAGAAAGGAAACUCUGCCAGAUUUUCUACUGAGGCGAGUUGACUCAGUGACCCGAGCUGACUCACUGGACAUGGACCUGUUUGCAAUGGGCUUCACUCAUGGGCUGUUUCAGUUGUGGAUUUUUUGGCAGCGAUCAGGAGGCUCCAAAAGUGGGGUCAUCGUCCGCAAGUACAUUCAUUGAGCGUGUGGAACGCCAAUUAGGCCGUUCAGUCAGUCAAGAUGGUCCUGAAGUGCUUUUUCCUCGUGCAGCGAGCGAGUGGCCUUAAAGGCAGUGCUGAGGAUCAGAGUUCUUCCCCUUCCAAGUCUCGUGAGUAUACUAUGUUGUUUCUUAAUAGGUUUGAGUACUGACACGUGCCAGUCGAGAUAUUUUGUUGUUAUUAUUAAAUGCACUUGGUGAUCUAUAUAUACAUCUUCCUUCCUUAUAUCUUCCCGAGAAACUUAUUUUACUUCCUCUUUUUCUCUUGCUUUCCAUAUUUUAUUAGAUCACUCUGAGCCAGCUGUGUUUUGCUCUUCUAGCAAUACACUAUGACAUUGUAUAACAAUGAUUGAGAACAUCUGUUUUCUUAUUGUUAUGGCUACGGAUCUUUAAUAACAAUGAUGUUGAGUUGAAUACGUUCGAAAUUGCUGAAGUAC